rnacentral:rRNA from 1 species
GUGCAGCAGGCGCGAAUCUUCCACAAUGGGGAAACCCUGAUGGAGCGACGCCGCGUGCGGGAUGAAGGCCCUAUGGGUUGUAAACCGCUGUUCAGUGGAAAGAACAUCCUCCGGCUGAAUAGGUCGGAGGCCUGACGUUACCACUGCAGAAAGUCCCGGCCAACUCCGUGCCAGCAGCCGCGGUAAUACGGGGGGACGAGCGUUUGUCCGGAAUCAUUGGGGCUAAAAGGGCGCGUAGGCGGCGAGGAAAGUCGAAUGUGAAAUCUUGCGGCUCAAACUGCAAAAACUGCGUUCGAAAACUUCCUCGCUUGAGUAUGAGAGAGGUGUGCGGAAAUUCCUGGUGUAGCCGGUGGAAUGCGUAGAUAUCAGAGGAA